rnacentral:rRNA from 1 species
UACAGAGGGGGCAAGCGUUGUCCGGACUUACUGGGCGUACAGCGCGCGCAGGCGGUGCCAUAUGUGCUCGGUGACAUCUGCUCGCUCAACGAGCAGCGGCCCGAGUAGACAGUGGCGCUAGAGGCAGGGAGAGGGAUGUGGAAUACCCGGUGGAGCGGUGAAAUGCGUAGAGAUCGGGUGGAACACCAGCGGCGAAGGCGGCAUCCUGGCCCUGAACUGACGCUGAGGCGCGAUAGCGUGGGGAGCAAACGGG